CAAUACAUUUUUCCUCCCAUACCCUACUUUCCCUUUCGCCGCUCCUCCCCAUUCACCGCGCGGUUGCUCCUCCUCCGCCCACCGUUGCUCACGCGUCGCCGCUCCUCCUUUGCCUCCUGUUGCUCACACGCCGCCGCUCCUCCCCUUUCGCCUUGCGCAGUCCCGACGUUGCCGCCAUGUGUUCCCACCGCCGCCGUAGCCGUUUUCUGGUGCCCCCAGUGAUUUUGCAACCGUCUUCCUCUCGGUCACGAACAGAGCUCGCUGGCUGCCGCAUCGUUCCCUUCGACGAUCAUGUCAAGCUCUGAUGAUGAAUCUGACGAGAUACAUUGAUCGAAUGUUGUCGGACUUCAUCUCUUACCAGGAGGAUGUACGUACAAGAAAUACUUGAUGGGCAUCCCCAAGUUUGCUUUGACAAUUUUUGUAUGUCAAAACAUGUGUGUGAAUUUUUGUAGAACAUUAAAAGAGAUGAAUCUAUUGCAAGAUGGAACGAAAGUUACAGUUGAA